UGCAUAUGUGUGUGUGUCUGUGUGUGUGUGUGUGUGUGUGUGUGUCUAUACAUAUUAUUCGAGUUUGUCAGCACAAGACAAAAU